rnacentral:rRNA from 1 species
GAUGAACGCUGGCGGCGUGCCUAAUACAUGCAAGUCGAGCGAACAGAUCAUGAGCUUGCUCCUCUCACGUUAGCGGCGGACGUGUGAGUAACACGUGUAUAACCUACCUAUAAUACUGGGAUAACCUCGGGACACCGGAGCUAAUACCGUAUAAUAUAUUGAACCGCAUGGUUCAAUAGUUAAAUACGGUUUUUCUGUCACGUAUAGAUGGAUCCGCGCCGCAUUAGCUAGUUGGUAAGGUCACGGCUUACCAAGGCAACGAUGCGUAUCCGACCUGAGAGGGUGGUAGGCCACACUGGAACUGAGACGCGGUCCAGACUACUACGGGAGGCAGCAGUAGGGAAUCUUAGGCAAUGGGCGAAAGCCUGGCGGAGCAACGCCGCGUGAGUGAUGAAGGUCUUCGGAUCGUAAAACUCUGUUAUUAGGGAAAAACAAAUGUGUAAGUAACUAUGCACGUAUUGACGGUACCUAAUAAGAAAGCAACGGCUAACUACGUG